rnacentral:RNase_P_RNA from 1 species
GUCGCUUGCUGCUUGUUGGCAAGAGGAAAGUCCGGGCAACACAGAGUGCCAUAUUUCCUAACGGGAAGCUGUCAGUGAUGGCAGAGCAGUGUGACAGAAAACAACCGCCAUCAGCUUGUUGCGGAUGGUAAGGGUGAAAAGGUGGGGUAAGAGCCUACCGGGCGCAAUGGUGACAUCGCGUGCCGCACACCUUAUGGGUUGCAAGGCCAAGUACACCGGCAUCUAAGGGUUACUCGUCCAUUGUCGGGGGGUAGGCUGCUUGAGCCUUAUGGCGACAUAAGGAUUAGAUAAAUGACAGGAGGCGGACUUGUCCGUUACAUAACCCGGCUUAUAGCUGUGCUGU